rnacentral:rRNA from 1 species
UACAGAGGGGGCUAGCGUUAUUCGGAAUUAUUGGGCGUAAAGAGCGCGCAGGCGGUCGUUUAAGUCGAAUGUGAAAGCCCCCGGCUCAACUGGGGAGGGUCAUUCGAUACUGAUCGACUUGAAGGCAGGAGAGGGAAGUGGAAUUCCCGGUGUAGUGGUGAAAUGCGUAGAUAUCGGGAGGAACACCAGUGGCGAAGG